rnacentral:rRNA from 1 species
UACGCAGGGUGCAAGCGUUAAUCGGAAUUACUGGGCGUAAAGCGUGCGCAGGCGGUUUUGUAAGUCUGUCGUGAAAUCCCCGGGCUCAACCUGGGAAUUGCGAUGGAGACUGCAAGGCUAGAAUCUGGCAGAGGGGGGUAGAAUUCCACGUGUAGCAGUGAAAUGCGUAGAGAUGUGGAGGAACACCGAUGGCGAAGGCAGCCCCAUGGGUCAAGAUUGACGCUCAUGCACGAAAGCGUGGGGAGCAAACAGG